rnacentral:lncRNA from 1 species
GUGGGAGACCCGCGCGUUGCGGCGGUAGAUGCGGAGUCGAUAAUACAGGCCGAGAACAUAAUUUAAGCCUAAAACGUUAAAAAUCAUAUAUACAUGUGUGUUUAUAUAAUACUUGGAAUGCCCGCACGUUGCGGCGAGAAACAUAUCACUUAGGUUGGUGAGUUUAGGGCUAUGUACAGGGAUGUAGUUUCUGAUGUGGCGUGCGGCGACGAUGGUGGCAGUGCCGUGCCGUGAGAAUAUUAAUCACCAGAAUGGUUUUAGAUUUGCAGCUAUGUACAGCCAAUUUUUGUUGAAGGUAAUAAUAUAACAUAUAAUUUUCCAUGCUGAAGUAAGAUGGGUUGCACAAGAGAAAAAAAACAUAAGAAUGAUAUCAUAUUGGCAUCUUUAUUGCCCCAAGUUAUACAACCACCGUACGACCACUUCAUGCAUCCAAUCCGCCUGUAACACCAAUUCCAUCAAUAAAUAAAUUUAUUUUAUUCAAACAUAGUAUAAAAAAUCCAUAAAAAUAAUUUAGUUUUGAACUUCCUGCCGGAUCUUAUUGAAGAGAAGCAACUCGAUGGAGGGAAGCUUAAAUAGUGCAGGAUUCCACAUUAGAACACCUUAUUGCUCAUAGCAAUAAGCAAUAAUCGGUUGAUUGAAGCUCUGAAUGGGAUGUCUUAUAGUUUACAAAUCAUAAUUCUUUAAUAAAUCGUUAGAUCAGCCAGUGCUAGUGUGCUACUCAUUGUCCUUAUUUCAACCAAAAGAGUGAUCAGUGGUGCGACUCGCCUCAAUUUCAACUAAACGACAAUCAAGCAUUCCAUACAGGGGUGUUAAUUUCUGACACGACCUGAAAACACGACACAAACCUAACAUGAAAUUCGCGGGUUUAGGUUUAGUCUAAACGGGUUCGGGUCAGU